rnacentral:rRNA from 1 species
AAAUUGAAGAGUUUGAUCAUGGCUCAGAUUGAACGCUGGCGGCAGGCCUAACACAUGCAAGUCGAACGGUAACAGGAAGCAGCUUGCUGCUUCGCUGACGAGUGGCGGACGGGUGAGUAAUGUCUGGGAAACUGCCUGAUGGAGGGGGAUAACUACUGGAAACGGUGGCUAAUACCGCAUAACGUCGCAAGACCAAAGAGGGGGACCUUCGGGCCUCUUGCCAUCAGAUGUGCCCAGAUGGGAUUAGCUUGUUGGUGAGGUAACGGCUCACCAAGGCGACGAUCCCUAGCUGGUCUGAGAGGAUGACCAGCCACACUGGAACUGAGACACGGUCCAGACUCCUACGGGAGGCAGCAGUGGGGAAUAUUGCACAAUGGGCGCAAGCCUGAUGCAGCCAUGCCGCGUGUAUGAAGAAGGCCUUCGGGUUGUAAAGUACUUUCAGCGGGGAGGAAGGUGUUGCGGUUAAUAACCGCAGCAAUUGACGUUACCCGCAGAAGAAGCACCGGCUAACUCCGUGC